rnacentral:misc_RNA from 1 species
GAUGAAGAACGUAGCGAAAUGCGAUACGUAAUGUGAAUUGCAGAAUUCAGUGAAUCAUCGAAUCUUUGAACGCACAUUGCGCCCGCUAGUAUUCUGGCGGGCAUGCCUGUCCGAGCGUCAUUUCAACCCUCAAGCCCCCGGGCUUGGUGUUGGGGAUCGGCGAGCCUCCGCGCCCGCCGUCCCCUAAAUCUAGUGGCGGUCUCGCUGUAGCUUCCUCUGCGUAGUAGCACACCUCGCACUGGGAAACAGAGCGGCCACGCCGUUAAACCCCCAACUUCUGAACGUUUGACCUCGGAUCAGGUAGGAAUACCCGCUGAACUUAAGCAUAUCAAUAAGCGGAGGA